rnacentral:tRNA from 4 species
GCUGAUGUGGCUCAGUCGGUAGAGCGUCGCCUUGGUAAGGCGGAGGUCACGGGUUCGAUUCCCGUCAUCAGCUC